AUUGAACGCUGGCGGCAUGCCUUACACAUGCAAGUCGAACGGCAGCACGGGAGCAAUCCUGGUGGCGAGUGGCGAACGGGUGAGUAGUACAUCGGAACGUGCCUAGUAGUGGGGGAUAGCCCGGCGAAAGCCGGAUUAAUACCGCAUACGACCUGAGGGUGAAAGCGGGGGAUCGCAAGACCUCGCGCUAUCAGAGCGGCCGAUGCCAGAUUAGGUAGUUGGUGGGGUAAAAGCCUACCAAGCCGACGAUCUGUAGCUGGUCUGAGAGGACGACCAGCCACACUGGGACUGAGACACGGCCCAGACUCCUACGGGAGGCAGCAGUGGGGAAUUUUGGACAAUGGGCGCAAGCCUGAUUCAGCCAUGCCGCGUGCAGGAAGAAGGCCUUCGGGUUGUAAACUGCUUUUGUCAGGGAAGAAAAGUUCUGGGCUAAUACCCCGGAGCGAUGACGGUACCUGAAGAAUAAGCACCGGCUAACUACGUGCCAGCCGCCGCCGUAA
rnacentral:rRNA from 1 species